UUAAGCGACUAAGCGUACACGGUGGAUGCCCUGGCAGUCAGAGGCGAUGAAGGACGUGCUAAUCUGCGAUAAGCGUCGGUAAGGUGAUAUGAACCGUUAUAACCGGCGAUUUCCGAAUGGGGAAACCCAGUGUGUUUCGACACACUAUCAUUAACUGAAUCCAUAGGUUAAUGAGGCGAACCGGGGGAACUGAAACAUCUAAGUACCCCGAGGAAAAGAAAUCAACCGAGAUUCCCCCAGUAGCGGCGAGCGAACGGGGAGCAGCCCAGAGCCUGAAUCAGUGUGUGUGUUAGUGGAAGCGUCUGGAAAGGCGCGCGAUACAGGGUGACAGCCCCGUACACAAAAAUGCACAUGCUGUGAGCUCGAUGAGUAGGGCGGGACACGUGGUAUCCUGUCUGAAUAUGGGGGGACCAUCCUCCAAGGCUAAAUACUCCUGACUGACCGAUAGUGAACCAGUACCGUGAGGGAAAGGCGAAAAGAACCCCGGCGAGGGGAGUGAAAAAGAACCUGAAACCGUGUACGUACAAGCAGUGGGAGCACGCUUAGGCGUGUGACUGCGUACCUUUUGUAUAAUGGGUCAGCGACUUAUAUUCUGUAGCAAGGUUAACCGAAUAGGGGAGCCGAAGGGAAACCGAGUCUUAACUGGGCGUUAAGUUGCAGGGUAUAGACCCGAAACCCGGUGAUCUAGCCAUGGGCAGGUUGAAGGUUGGGUAACACUAACUGGAGGACCGAACCGACUAAUGUUGAAAAAUUAGCGGAUGACUUGUGGCUGGGGGUGAAAGGCCAAUCAAACCGGGAGAUAGCUGGUUCUCCCCGAAAGCUAUUUAGGUAGCGCCUCGUGAAUUCAUCUCCGGGGGUAGAGCACUGUUUCGGCAAGGGGGUCAUCCCGACUUACCAACCCGAUGCAAACUGCGAAUACCGGAGAAUGUUAUCACGGGAGACACACGGCGGGUGCUAACGUCCGUCGUGAAGAGGGAAACAACCCAGACCGCCAGCUAAGGUCCCAAAGUCAUGGUUAAGUGGGAAACGAUGUGGGAAGGCCCAGACAGCCAGGAUGUUGGCUUAGAAGCAGCCAUCAUUUAAAGAAAGCGUAAUAGCUCACUGGUCGAGUCGGCCUGCGCGGAAGAUGUAACGGGGCUAAACCAUGCACCGAAGCUGCGGCAGCGACGCUGAUGCGUUGUUGGGUAGGGGAGCGUUCUGUAAGCCUGCGAAGGUGUGCUGUGAGGCAUGCUGGAGGUAUCAGAAGUGCGAAUGCUGACAUAAGUAACGAUAAAGCGGGUGAAAAGCCCGCUCGCCGGAAGACCAAGGGUUCCUGUCCAACGUUAAUCGGGGCAGGGUGAGUCGACCCCUAAGGCGAGGCCGAAAGGCGUAGUCGAUGGGAAACAGGUUAAUAUUCCUGUACUUGGUGUUACUGCGAAGGGGGGACGGAGAAGGCUAUGUUGGCCGGGCGACGGUUGUCCCGGUUUAAGCGUGUAGGCUGGUUUUCCAGGCAAAUCCGGAAAAUCAAGGCUGAGGCGUGAUGACGAGGCACUACGGUGCUGAAGCAACAAAUGCCCUGCUUCCAGGAAAAGCCUCUAAGCAUCAGGUAACAUCAAAUCGUACCCCAAACCGACACAGGUGGUCAGGUAGAGAAUACCAAGGCGCUUGAGAGAACUCGGGUGAAGGAACUAGGCAAAAUGGUGCCGUAACUUCGGGAGAAGGCACGCUGAUAUGUAGGUGAGGUCCCUCGCGGAUGGAGCUGAAAUCAGUCGAAGAUACCAGCUGGCUGCAACUGUUUAUUAAAAACACAGCACUGUGCAAACACGAAAGUGGACGUAUACGGUGUGACGCCUGCCCGGUGCCGGAAGGUUAAUUGAUGGGGUCAGCGCAAGCGAAGCUCUUGAUCGAAGCCCCGGUAAACGGCGGCCGUAACUAUAACGGUCCUAAGGUAGCGAAAUUCCUUGUCGGGUAAGUUCCGACCUGCACGAAUGGCGUAAUGAUGGCCAGGCUGUCUCCACCCGAGACUCAGUGAAAUUGAACUCGCUGUGAAGAUGCAGUGUACCCGCGGCAAGACGGAAAGACCCCGUGAACCUUUACUAUAGCUUGACACUGAACAUUGAGCCUUGAUGUGUAGGAUAGGUGGGAGGCUUAGAAGUGUGGACGCCAGUCUGCAUGGAGCCGACCUUGAAAUACCACCCUUUAAUGUUUGAUGUUCUAACGUUGACCCGUAAUCCGGGUUGCGGACAGUGUCUGGUGGGUAGUUUGACUGGGGCGGUCUCCUCCUAAAGAGUAACGGAGGAGCACGAAGGUUGGCUAAUCCUGGUCGGACAUCAGGAGGUUAGUGCAAUGGCAUAAGCCAGCUUGACUGCGAGCGUGACGGCGCGAGCAGGUGCGAAAGCAGGUCAUAGUGAUCCGGUGGUUCUGAAUGGAAGGGCCAUCGCUCAACGGAUAAAAGGUACUCCGGGGAUAACAGGCUGAUACCGCCCAAGAGUUCAUAUCGACGGCGGUGUUUGGCACCUCGAUGUCGGCUCAUCACAUCCUGGGGCUGAAGUAGGUCCCAAGGGUAUGGCUGUUCGCCAUUUAAAGUGGUACGCGAGCUGGGUUUAGAACGUCGUGAGACAGUUCGGUCCCUAUCUGCCGUGGGCGCUGGAGAACUGAGGGGGGCUGCUCCUAGUACGAGAGGACCGGAGUGGACGCAUCACUGGUGUUCGGGUUGUCAUGCCAAUGGCACUGCCCGGUAGCUAAAUGCGGAAGAGAUAAGUGCUGAAAGCAUCUAAGCACGAAACUUGCCCCGAGAUGAGUUCUCCCUGACCCUUUAAGGGUCCUGAAGGAACGUUGAAGACGACGACGUUGAUAGGCCGGGUGUGUAAGCGCAGCGAUGCGUUGAGCUAACCGGUACUAAUGAACCGUGAGGCUUAACCUU
rnacentral:rRNA from 1 species